rnacentral:lncRNA from 1 species
GGAUAUCAUGAGCUGAAUAAGCCUCGCUUGGAGUAAAAACAAGAACUUUUCCAGGGCCAAACAGCGUAGGAGAAGGCAUGAGCCAGAGGUUACUUUCAGAGCUCCUUUGUUCUCCCCUUACCAGCAAUGGAUCAACCAGGGGCACUCCAAAAGAACUCCCGGAAGCAAAAGUGAGCAUUUCUUGAACUGUGCCACCCCAAGGAGCUGAAAGUGCAACAAAGUGUUUGAUAAACCGUUGGCGCCAAGAGGCUGAAUUUCGGUUGAGAAGUUGGAGUACGUAGAGGCCCCCUAGGCUGUGGGAGAGGAGAAUCACUGGCUUCCCUCCAUUGGAAGCGCUUGCUUUUUCAAUCAAAUCUUUCAG